rnacentral:rRNA from 1 species
AGUCGAACGAGCGAGAGAGAGCUUGCUUUCUCGAGCGAGUGGCGAACGGGUGAGUAACGCGUGAGGAACCUGCCUCAAAGAGGGGGACAACAGUUGGAAACGACUGCUAAUACCGCAUAAGCCCACGACCCGGCAUCGGGUAGAGGGAAAAGGAGCAAUCCGCUUUGAGAUGGCCUCGCGUCCGAUUAGCUAGUUGGUGAGGUAACGGCCCACCAAGGCGACGAUCGGUAGCCGGACUGAGAGGUUGAACGGCCACAUUGGGACUGAGACACGGCCCAGACUCCUACGGGAGGCAGCAGUGGGGAAUAUUGCACAAUGGGGGAAACCCUGAUGCAGCGACGCCGCGUGGAGGAAGAAGGUCUUCGGAUUGUAAACUCCUGUUGUUGAGGAAGAUAAUGACGGUACUCAACAAGGAAGUGACGGCUAACUACGUGCCAGCAGCCGCGGUAAAACGUAGGUCACAAGCGUUGUCCGGAAUUACUGGGUGUAAAGGGAGCGCAGGCGGGAAGACAAGUUGGAAGUGAAAUCCAUGGGCUCAACCCAUGAACUGCUUUCAAAACUGUUUUUCUUGAGUAGUGCAGAGGUAGGCGGAAUUCCCGGUGUAGCGGUGGAAUGCGUAGAUAUCGGGAGGAACACCAGUGGCGAAGGCGGCCUACUGGGCACCAACUGACGCUGAGGCUCGAAAGUGUGGGUAGCAAACAGGAUUAGAUACCCUGGUAGUCCACACUGUAAACGAUGAUUACUAGGUGUUGGAGGAUUGACCCCAUCAGUGCCGCAGUUAACACAAUAAGUAAUCCACCUGGGGAGUACGACCGCAAGGUUGAAACUCA